UACGGGGGGAGCAAGCGUUGUUCGGAUUUACUGGGCGUAAAGGGCGCGUAGGCGGCCAGCACAAGUCAGUUGUGAAAUCUCCGGGCUUAACUCGGAAAGGUCAACUGAUACUGUGCGGCUAGAGUGCAGAAGGGGCAACUGGAAUUCUCGGUGUAGCGGUGAAAUGCGUAGAUAUCGAGAGGAACACCUGCGGCGAAGGCGGGUUGCUGGGCUGACACUGACGCUGAGGCACGAAAGCGUGGGGAGCAAACAGG
rnacentral:rRNA from 1 species